rnacentral:misc_RNA from 1 species
GAUGAAGAACGUAGCGAAAUGCGAUACGUAAUGUGAAUUGCAGAAUUCAGUGAAUCAUCGAGUCUUUGAACGCACAUUGCGCCCGCCAGUAUUCUGGCGGGCAUGCCUGUUCGAGCGUCAUUACAACCCUCAGGCCCCCGGGCCUGGCGUUGGGGAUCGGCGGAAAGCCCCCUGUGGGCAUACGCCGUCCCCUAAAUACAGUGGCGGUCCCGCCGCAGCUUCCAUUGCGUAGUAGCUAACACCUCGCAACUGGAGAGCGGCGCGGCCAAGCCGUAAAACACCCAACUUCUGAAUGUUGACCCCGAAUCAGGUAGGAAUACCCGCUGAACUUAAGCAUAUCAAUAAGCGGAGGA